rnacentral:rRNA from 1 species
GGUGAGUAAUGUCUGGGAAACUGCCUGAUGGAGGGGGAUAACUACUGGAAACGGUAGCUAAUACCGCAUAACGUCGCAAGACCAAAGAGGGGGACCUUCGGGCCUCUUGCCAUCGGAUGUGCCCAGAUGGGAUUAGCUAGUAGGUGGGGUAACGGCUCACCUAGGCGACGAUCCCUAGCUGGUCUGAGAGGAUGACCAGCCACACUGGAACUGAGACACGGUCCAGACUCCUACGGGAGGCAGCAGUGGGGAAUAUUGCACAAUGGGCGCAAGCCUGAUGCAGCCAUGCCGCGUGUAUGAAGAAGGCCUUCGGGUUGUAAAGUACUUU